rnacentral:rRNA from 1 species
CCCUUAGAUGUUCUGGGCUGCACGCGCGCUACACUGACACGAUCAACGAGUUUGUCCUUUCCCGAUAGGGCUGGGUAAUCUUUUCAAAUCGUGUCGUGAUGGGGAUAGAUUAUUGCAAUUAUUAAUCUUCAACGAGGAAUGCCUAGUAGGCGCAAGUCAUCAGCUUGCGUCGAUUACGUCCCUGCCCUUUGUACACACCGCCCGUCGCUCCUACCGAUUGGGUGUGCUGGUGAAAUGUUCGGAUCGGCCGUUUGUCGCGGUUUCCGCGUCAUGUGGCUGAGAAGUUCAUUAAACCCUCCCACCUAGAGGAAGGAGAAGUCGUAACA